rnacentral:rRNA from 1 species
UACGGGGGGAGCAAGCGUUGUUCGGAUUUACUGGGCGUAAAGGGCGCGUAGGCGGCGCCGCAAGUCGGUUGUGAAAUCUCUGGGCUUAACCCAGAAAGGUCAACCGAUACUGCGGGGCUAGAGUGCAGAAGGGGCAACUGGAAUUCUCGGUGUAGCGGUGAAAUGCGUAGAGAUCGGGAGGAACACCCGUGGCGAAGGCGGCUCACUGGGCUGACCUUGACGCUGAGGCGCGAAGGCGUGGGGAGCGAACGGG